UACGUAGGUGGCAAGCGUUGUCCGGAUUUAUUGGGCGUAAAGGGCGCGCAGGCGGUUCGUUAAGUUCGAGGUGAAAUCUCCUGGCUCAACUGGGAGGGGUCUUCGGAUACUGGCGGACUAGAGGAGAGCAGAGGUGAGUGGAAUUCUGGGUGUAGUGGUGAAAUGCGUAGAUAUCCAGAGGAACACCAGUGGCGAAGGCGACUCACUGGGCUCCACCUGACGCUGAGGCGCGAAAGCGUGGGGAGCGAACCGG
rnacentral:rRNA from 1 species